ensembl:lncRNA
CUGGCGAGGAGGCAGUGUUAAUUGUUUAAUCCCACAAGUGUGUCUGGGGUGUGGGCUGUGAGGGUGAGAAAGGAGACAGACCUGGGCUGAGAAGGAGCCGGUGCCAGGCGGACUGAGCCUCCAUUUACACAGAAGUGUUUGGGGAAGGCCUCUCCAGAGGGCCGGCCUGGAAAGCUCAACCGGGAGAGGAGAUGGGCCGAAAAACAAAACCAGACCCCUGGAAGCCUGAUGAACCUGUGACUGAUCGCUGGGAGAUGCCCUGCUUGAGCCGGAUGUGCUGUCAGCUUGGUGUCCAGAUGGGCACCCCAGAGUCGGGCACGCCUGGCCAGCCGUGAUGCACAGAUGGUGGAAGCACAGGAGGCCAGUCUCCAGAGCCAGAGCCCGGACUGCAGCGGGACGGGCGAUGGCAGGGGCCUCCAAGCUCAGAGAAAGCCAGUGGCAGCAUCCAGACUGCCAGAGUGACUCCGAGCCUUCAUUUGAAUCCACCUGUGUGCACUGGGGUCAGUUGUCUUCAGAGACCCCCGGAUCCGCAGAUCAUUGCUCCAUCCAGGCCAGGGCCUGGUCCGUAAAGUGUGGUCCGCGCUUGAUGAAUUGAACAGAAAGUUAACUGCGUGUCUGCUCCUCCUGUGUGGUCAGGACUGAUGACAAAGAACUGGACCCUCCUCCUCUGACACCAAAGAGGUCAUCCUCAGAGGGAAGGGAGACAGAAAAGGAAUUGGUGCCUAGAGUGGCCCCUGUUUUUUGUAUGUUUGGCCGAAUCAUGUGGCCUGUGGGACCUUAGUCCCCCCGACCAGGGAUCAAACCUGUACCCCCUGCAAUGGAAGGUGAAGACUUAACCACUGGACCACCAGGGAAGAGCUCUUUAGAAACUUCAAGAGUGGAGCUGAAGGACUGGGAGUGGGCUUUGCUUGAGCUUCGGGGUGAUGCUACCUACCAGGGUAAUUUGGGAUGAUCUCCUUACUGCUCUGUGCCUUGAUAUUCCUCAUCUGAAAACAGCAUUAGAAACAUCUUAACCAUAGAUUGUUGACAG